UACGGAGACUGCGAGCGUUACUCGGAUUUACUGGGCGUAAAGGGUCCGUAGGCGGCCAUGUGUGUCGGGUGUGAAAUCCUGCAGCUCAACUGCAGAACUGCGCUCGAAACUACAUGGCUAGAGUAUCGGAGAGGUGAGCAGAAUUCCAGGUGUAGCGGUGAAAUGCGUAGAUAUCUGGAGGAAUACCAACGGCGAAGGCAGCUCACUGGACGAUUACUGACGCUGAGGGACGAAAGUGUGGGGAGCGAAAGGG
rnacentral:rRNA from 1 species